UACGUAGGGUGCGAGCGUUUGUCCGGAAUUAUUGGGCGUAAAGGGCUCGUAGGCGGUUUGUCGCGUCGGGAGUGAAAACACCGGGCUUAACUCGGUGCUUGCUUCCGAUACGGGCAGACUAGAGGCAUGCAGGGGAGAACGGAAUUCCUGGUGUAGCGGUGAAAUGCGCAGAUAUCAGGAGGAACACCGGUGGCGAAGGCGGUUCUCUGGGCAUGUCCUGACGCUGAGGAGCGAAAGUGUGGGGAGCGAACAGG
rnacentral:rRNA from 1 species